GUCCCUUUCCCUUAUAUUGGUGCAUGAACGUUUGAUUGAUAUUACAGUCAUUCCCACGGAAACGCGAUUUGCUCCAAUAGAUAAGCUGAAUUGCAAUAACGAGUUCUGUGUGGUAGGUGGAUCUCUCUAUAACCCUAAUUUCGACUUUCGCAGGCCUUCAUCGGAGCUCCAUUGAUGGGUUACUAUUACUGUAAACCAAGGCGUCACGAUGCUCACACUUCGAACGUCGUUCUGUUCUUGCUCGUGGCCCUGACGCUUCUGGCCAUACCAUAUUUGUUCUCGCGCGAAACAGAAGUAGUAGUUCAAGAGACGAAGAUGAAUUGGUCAGCUUUGAUCCUAAUUCUGGUUCUGAUAAUCCUAAUUUUGGCAUCGCUCAUGCGAUCUCCAAGAAAGGGUUACGGAGCGCCUCCUUGCUAUGGAUGUAGGCCUGGCUGCUAUUGUUGCUGGUACCCCAAGAAAUGCUGAAUGAAUUGUAUUGUGUAUGUCUUCUUUCUGUCAUUAUAAUCUGCGUGUGUCUGCGCAUCGGAUUUUGUUUGUCAGAAAUUUUAUCUAUAUAUAUUUUAUCCCCAGAUUCCUAGAAUCAGUUAAACAGGUUAAUAAGGCGGGAUAGGAAGUUACUUGUGAAUUGAUGUCUCUUGCGCAGAUGUAUUAUUGAAGUGUGAUCUAUGUAAUGAUAUCCCAGAUCAGAUUAAUAAAGAAUGUUCAUAUAUGAUGGUCAUUGU